rnacentral:rRNA from 1 species
UACGGGGGGGGCAAGCGUUGUUCGGAAUUACUGGGCGUAAAGCGCUCGUAGGCGGCCAACUAAGUCAGACGUGAAAUCCCUCGGCUUAACCGGGGAACUGCGUCUGAUACUGGAUGGCUUGAAUCCGGGAGAGGGAUGCGGAAUUCCAGGUGUAGCGGUGAAAUGCGUAGAUAUCUGGAGGAACACCGGUGGCGAAGGCGGCAUCCUGGACCGGCAUUGACGCUGAGGAGCGAAAGCCAGGGGAGCAAACGGG